rnacentral:rRNA from 1 species
AUUGAACGCUGGCGGCAGGCCUAACACAUGCAAGUCGAGCGGAGCGGUGGACGGGUGAGUAAUGCCUAGGAAUCUGCCUGGUAGUGGGGGAUAACGUCCGGAAACGGGCGCUAAUACCGCAUACUAACAGAUGAGCCUAGGUCGGAUUAGCUAGUUGGUGGGGUAAAGGCCUACCAAGGCGACGAUCAGUAACUGGUCAGAGAGGAUGAUCAGUCAAGUGUGAAUUGAGAAACGGUCCAGACUCCUACGGGAGGCAGCAGAUGGGAAUAUUGGACAAUGGGCGAAAGCUUAAUCCAGCCAGGCCGCGGGUGUGAAGAAGGUCUUCGGAUUGUAAAGCACUUUAAGUUGGGAGGCGUUACCAACAGAAUAAGCACCGGCUAACUUCGUGCCAGCAGCCGCGGUAAUAC